UACGGGGGGGGCAAGCGUUGUUCGGAAUUACUGGGCGUAAAGGGCUCGUAGGUGGCCAACUAAGUCAGACGUGAAAUCCCUCGGCUUAACCGGGGAACUGCGUCUGAUACUGGAUGGCUUGAGAUUGGGAGAGGGAUGCGGAAUUCCAGGUGUAGCGGUGAAAUGCGUAGAUAUCAGGAGGAACACCGGUGGCGAAGGCGGGUCUCUGGGCCGAUACUGACGCUGAGGAGCGAAAGCGUGGGGAGCGAACAGG
rnacentral:rRNA from 1 species